rnacentral:rRNA from 1 species
UAGUCCACGCCGUAAACGAUGAUUACUCGCUGUAGGCGAUACACAGUCUGUGGCUAAGCGAAAGUUUUAAGUAAUCCACCUGGGGAGUACGAUCGCAAGAUUGAAACUCAAAGGAAUUGACGGGGGCCCGCACAAGCGGAGGAACAUGUGGUUUAAUUCGAUGAUACGCGAGGAACCUUACCUGGACUUAAAUGUACGUUGCAUGGAUCAGAGAUGGUUCUUUCUUCGGACUACGUACAAGGUGCUGCAUGGUUGUCGUCAGCUCGUGCCGUGAGGUGUCGGGUUAAGUCCCAUAACGAGCGCAACCCCUAUCCUUAGUUGCCAGCGGGUCAUGCCGGGGACUCUGAGGAGACUGCCGGCGUAAGCCGCGAGGAAGGUGGGGAUGACGUCAAAUCAUCAUGGCCUUUAUGCCCAGGGCUACACACGUGCUACAAUGGCAGGUACAAAGAGUCGCUAAGCCGCGAGGUAGAGCUAAUCUCAGAAAACCUGUCCCAGUUCGGAUUGG